GCUGAUUGACUGCCCACAGUGGGACACAAUCACCAUGAGACUCAGUUCCCUCAACAGGAAAAUGGGCAUGGUCACAGCCCUCACCUCACCGGAUUGCUGUGAGGCGGACGAGACAAUGUACGAGAAGCCUGUGGCUGAAGAAGUCCUGAAAAAUAGUAGGUUUACCAAUUCCUGAGCACUGGGCUUCACCCAUUAGACAAGGCAGUUGAGGAAGCAGCCAGCAGACACACACACGUUCAAAGGGACAUAACGACAAGCAAUUGUAUCUACCCAGUGUGACUUCUGCUGCACCCCAAGAUAAGUCUGCAGCUUUUAAAGCGGCAGAAAAAGUCCUGGCAGAAGAGAUUUUUUCAGUCCGAACAGAGAAGAAUCCUCUUUGGAGCAGAUGGCACCAAAGAUCAUGGGUGGGAAAGCACU
rnacentral:lncRNA from 1 species